GGUGGCCGUUGAGGCGCGCGCGCGCUGGCGCCGGGCUCGAGCCGGCGGCGUCUCCCUUCUCUCCCCUCAGUCCCGCGCGGCGGCCGUGGCGGCAGCAGCAAGCUCGGAGCGGUGCCGCCACCUACUCCUCGUCCUCCUCGCUCUCCCCUCCGGGGCACGAUGCAGUUUAUGUUGCUUUUUAGUCGCCAGGGGAAACUGAGACUCCAGAAGUGGUAUGUCCCACUAUCUGACAAAGAAAAGAAGAAAAUCACAAGGGAACUUGUUCAAACAGUAUUAGCCCGCAAACCGAAAAUGUGCAGCUUCCUGGAAUGGAGAGACCUGAAGAUUGUCUACAAAAGAUAUGCAAGCCUCUAUUUCUGCUGUGCCAUUGAAGAUCAGGACAAUGAACUAAUAACUCUGGAAAUAAUUCACCGUUAUGUAGAACUUCUUGACAAGUAUUUUGGCAGUGUAUGUGAACUUGAUAUAAUCUUCAAUUUUGAAAAAGCCUAUUUUAUUCUGGAUGAGUUCCUCUUGGGAGGGGAGGUCCAGGAGACUUCCAAGAAAAAUGUUCUCAAAGCCAUUGAACAGGCAGAUCUUCUACAGGAGAGCCAGAAUGAAGACUGGGGAGGUUUGUCUGAGGAUAUCUUAUGAUUAAGAGCAAUCUAAGACCUUAGCCCUUUUGACCCCCAUCUAGAUGAUUGGAUGCUAAAGAAGCAGAGACCCCACGUAGUGUACUUGAAGAAAUUGGAUUGACAUAAGUCUUCACUUCAGCUGAUGACAUCUCAGUGUUUCAUACUGUAAAUGUUCACUGCCUUCAUUGUAAUGUUUAGCUAAUGGUGUAAGAUGCUGUUUGUCAGUAUUACUGUUUUGCUAAGCUGCUUCAUUCAGGCCUACAAGGGAAAUACUCCUUUGGAAAGGGAACAAGAAAUUAAAGGCCAAAAAUCAUAAAUGAAAGGGAAUUGGAUUUAAAUUGAACUCAGUGUCUCUUCUCACUGCAUUUAUAGGAAAAAAAAAUGCAUUUAAUUUCAAUAAGUGUACUGUUUUUAUAAGCAAAUGACUUCAGGAAAUAAAUGUAUCAUUGACAUAUCUAAAUGAAAAGAAUACAUGGACUCCUUCAAGUAUGAAAUGUUGUAGAAAUUGUGUUGAUGCAACCAAAGACUUUUUGUUCAUCUGCAUUUUUAGUCAAUAGCUGCGGUAAUUCUGCUUUUAUUCAGUUAAUGCGUUACGAUUGGAAAUAACUGUUUACUUCUGAAUUUGCCAUUAUACCAAAGAAUCCUCUUAGGAUCUGCAUAUCCAACUGGUUAAAACUGUUAAGGUGGCAUUGCUUUUUGCAAGACAGCUGCAAACUGAUCAUUUACUAGCAGUGAAAGUGUAUUUACAUGUAAUUAUCUUGAUCAAAACUGUGCAAGUUACUAUAUUAAAAAGGGAAUGCAUGUAGUUUAAAAAAAAAAAAUCAAAAUAGGGAAACUAUUUUUAAACCAGUACUGGCUUGCUCUGAACAUAGACACAAAAAAAGGAAGUAGCCUUUUUGACUGUAUAGAGAGGUACGUAAUGAAAAUAGGAUACUUUUGAACUUGGGAGCUUUACAAAAGGGAGUUUUUAUGAUUUUCUUUUGAACUCUACAAAUUAAUUUGUAUUUAUUCGUGUUUUGUAGUUCCGCUUUAAUGGGUGUAUGAGAGCCUUUAAGAAAAAGUGUCAGCUUAAUUUUGACUACUUUUCUUGACUUACACCUUUCACAUGUGACACAUCCCUUAAAAACUGUGCAGUAGAACCAACUAAUUUGCAGUGAGAAUUUUGUAUACUACAUUCAUUGCAAAUUGGGUAGAGUGAAAUGGAAUAAUAGUUUGACAUUUCUUGCAGACUCUCAGAAGUUGUACACUAGAACUGCAUCACUUGAAGAAAUUUGUUUGAUGUAUGUUUUUGAGUUCUGAGAAGGUAGUGGCACACUUUGGAGUAGCAGAGUGCUACUGUGUGCGUGCAUGGUCCCUGAGAAUGCUCAGCUUUUUUCUCUUCCUGUCCCAGGAACUUCACUGUAGAAUUCAAGUAGCACCAUGCGUGUUUUCACAAAACUUAGCUUUGGCAUUGUUGCUGGGAGCAGUCAUGUGGUGCUCGCACAAGCAGUUACAUAGCCAGCUGGAGAGCUAGACCAGUGGCUCAAUCUGAUCUAGACUAAAUGUAACCCACCAGCAAAAGGUUGGCACUGACACUUGUUCCCUGAUCCAGAUCCCAGUAGAGGUGCUGGUGGCAGCAAAGGGGCUGUCCAGGGCAGAGGUGGGCUGGGUCUGGGGCUGCAGUAUCAGUGGCUGUGCCAGAGUGGAGCCUAAGAACUCGCAGCAUGCAAAUUUGUCCAUUUAAGCCAUUUCUGGGAUUUAAAUAUACCAGAUUACUCGAGACCAUGUUUAACUGAAGGCACCCAAAAGCAGUCGUUAGCAUUUUCCCGGUGCACAAGGGCAGGGAUAGAUGAGGUUCAAGUGGAGUUAGAAGGACCCUUGGUGUGAGACUGAAGUUGUGAAAACCUGAAGCGAUUUCCUAUGUAUUAAACAUUUUUGAAGUUUACACUGUCACUUGUAUGUGCUUGGCUGGGUUAAGCUUUGUUGUGAUUGUGACAAAUAAACUGUUUGACCUUUGUCGUACUGUCCCAUUGGUUUAGUUGUAAUAAAUGUCCAUUUUUACACCA